CUUCAGAUCACUUAUCUCCCCCCCCCCCCAACACCAUCGCAGCCUUUCCCUGAUCUGCCCCUUUAAGAAAAAUCAACCCACUCUAAGCCUAACCCUUUGCACACUGACCUUACACACUGGACAAUAUUUAAGGAUCAAGGUACCAUCCUAUAAAGAGGUACCAAGGCAGAGCCACUUUCUGGACGCCCGAUAAUAAUAGCGAUCGCCUCCCUGGGAAUAUUAAAAAUACUGCUCCUCCUAAGUGAUCACUGCCUAGACAUUGGGGUUGUCCGUGAUCCCCGGAAGCGGAGACACAGACCGAUCAAACAGACCCUCUCUGAAGGAAGGAGCGAAGUGCAAAUAGCUGGGUGAUUGAUGGGCUGCCUUUGACUGCGGAGAAAGCACUAUUUUAAUUCAAGUGGCCAGGUCAGAUGGUCACGGAAGAAGGUUGAAAGAAAUAAUGCAGCAGCAGCGUUCCACUAAAUACUGCAUCGGACUAUCCCAGGAACCAGUUGUGUUAGCAGGACUUUCUCGUUACAGAUUCCUAGACAGUGUCGGUGACAGGAUGGGCUCACUGCUCAAUUUUUUUUUAAAGGAUUGAUUUUAUUUAUUCAUUACAAAUUAAACAGAGGAAAUGAAAUGCAAAACAAGGCAAACGAGAGGUUGGGCUCCCAACUAAGGCGAGGCAAAGAGAUUGGGAGCAGCCGUUAGUUUUACUUUGAAAUGAUUUUCCCGUCUUGUAUUAACAACGCUGAUGUAGUAAAUAUGUGCACUAUUUAAAUGUUGCAACAAAGAUCGAAAGGAUUUUCCUCCUCCCCUUACCAUCUGAUUUACAAUAAUUUACAAAGAAGGAAAUAUCCCAUAUGGGGGGGGGCGGUUUUUCCUCCCUCUUCCCUCCCUCCUCCCCGCAAAAACAGGUACAAAACUGAUAUCGGAUUUACCCCAGAUUAUACCGGGGAGGAGGAUGUGGUGGGAACUAAAAAGCCAAGAACCAAUAUAUAUAUAUUAAUGUAUAUAUAUAUAUAUACACACACACACACACACACACACACACACUUUAAAAUUAU